CAAGGAAUCUUGUGCAAUGGGCGAAAGCCUGACACAGCGACGUCGCGUGGGGGAAGAAGGCCCUUGGGUUGUAAACCCCUUUUCUCAGGGAAGAAUAAUGACGGUACCUGAGGAAUAAGUCAUGGCUAACUGCGUGCCAGCAGCCGCGGUAAUACGUAGGUGGCGAGCAUUAUCCGGAUUUACUGGGCGUAAAGAGGGCGUAGGCGGUUUUUCAAGUCGGAUGUAAAAUCUCCCGGCUUAACUGGGAGGCAUCAUUCGAUACUGUUAAACUAGAGGGCAGCAGAGGGAGGCAGAAUUCCCGGAGUAGUGGUGAAAUGCGUAGAUACCGGGAGGAAUACCAGUGGCGAAGGCGGCCUCCUGGGCUGUUGCUGACGCUGAGGCCCAAAAGCGUGGGGAGCAAACAGG
rnacentral:rRNA from 1 species